GCUAAACGCGAAGAACCUUACCAGGCCUUGACAUGGUUAGUAUGAUUUCCAGAAAUGGAUUUCUUCAGUUUGGCUGGCUAACACACAGGUGCUGCAUGGCUGUCGUCAGCUCGUGUCGUGAGAUGUUGGGUUAAGUCCCGCAACGAGCGCAACCCUUGUCCUUAGUUGCCAUUAUUUAGUUGGGAACUCUAAGGAGACCGCCGGUGACAAACCGGAGGAAGGUGGGGAUGACGUCAAGUCAUCAUGGCCUUUAUGACCAGGGCUACACACGUGCUACAAUGGUGGUGACAAUGGGCAGCGAGGCAGUGAUGCCAAGCAAAUCUCUAAAAGCCACCUCAGUUCAGAUUGUACUCUGCAACUCGAGUACGUGAAGUCGGAAUCGCUAGUAAUCGCGAAUCAGCUAUGUCGCGGUGAAUACGUUCCCGGGUCUUGUACACACCG
rnacentral:rRNA from 1 species